GACAGAGGGUGCAAACGUUGUUCGGAAUUACUGGGCGUAAAGCGCGUGUAGGCGGCCCUGCAAGUCGGAUGUGAAAUCCCACGGCUCAACCGUGGAAGUGCAUUCGAAACUGCAGGGCUAGAGUCCUGGAGAGGAAGGUGGAAUGCUUGGUGUAGAGGUGAAAUUCGUAGAUAUCAAGCGGAACACCGGUGGCGAAGGCGGCCUUCUGGACAGUGACUGGACGCUGAGACGCGAAAGCGUGGGGAGCAAACAGGG
rnacentral:rRNA from 1 species